UACGUAGGGGGCUAGCGUUGUCCGGAAUCAUUGGGCGUAAAGAGCGUGUAGGCGGUCCGGUAAGUCCGCUGUGAAAGUCGGGGGCUCAACCCUCGAAUGCCGGUGGAUACUGUCGGGCUAGAGUGCGGAAGAGGCGAGUGGAAUUCCUAGUGUAGAGGUGAAAUUCGUAGAUAUUAGGAAGAACACCAGUGGCGAAGGCGGCUCACUGGCCCGGUACUGACGCUGAGGCGCGAAAGCGUGGGGAGCAAACAGG
rnacentral:rRNA from 1 species